GAUGAACGCUAGCGGCAGGCUUAACACAUGCAAGUCGAGGGGCAGCACGAUGUAGCAAUACAUUGGUGGCGACCGGCGCACGGGUGCGUAACACGUAUGGAAUCUGCCUUGUACUGGGAGAUAGCCCGGAGAAAUCCGGAUUAAUAUCCCAUAACAGCUUGGGUGGCAUCACUCGGGUUUGAAAGCUCCGGCGGUACAAGAUGACCAUGCGCACGAUUAGCUAGUUGGUGAGGUAACGGCUCACCAAGGCUACGAUCGUUAGGGGGCCUGAGAGGGUUAUCCCCCACACUGGUACUGAGACACGGACCAGACUCCUACGGGAGGCAGCAGUGAGGAAUAUUGCGCAAUGGAGGCAACUCUGACGCAGCCAUGCCGCGUGCAGGAAGAAGGCGCUACGCGUUGUAAACUGCUUUUAACCGGGAAGAAACCCCAGGACGUGUCCUGGGUUGACGGUACCGGAGGAAUAAGCACCGGCUAACUUCGUGCCAGCAGCCGCGGUAA
rnacentral:rRNA from 1 species